rnacentral:rRNA from 1 species
GACAGAGGGUGCGAACGUUGUUCGGAAUUACUGGGCGUAAAGCGCGUGUAGGCGGCAAUGCAAGUCGGGCGUGAAAUCCCACGGCUCAACCGUGGAAGUGCACUCGAAACUGCAUAGCUAGAGUCCUGGAGAGGAAGGUGGAAUGCUUGGUGUAGAGGUGAAAUUCGUAGAUAUCAAGCGGAACACCGGUGGCGAAGGCGGCUACCUGGACCGGUUCUGACGCUGAGGCGCGAAAGCGUGGGUAGCAAACAGG